CUUCAGCGCCGAUGGUACUGCAGCGGGGACGCUGUGGGAGACUAGGACGCCGCCGGAC
rnacentral:rRNA from 1 species